rnacentral:rRNA from 1 species
CCUACGGGGUGCAGCAGUGGGGAAUAUUGGACAAAGGGCGAAAGCCUGAUCCAGCCAUGCCGCGUGUGUGAAGAAGGCCUUCGGGUUGUAAAGCACUUUCAGUGGGAAGAAAGCCUUGGGGCUAAUACCCUCGAGGAAGGACAUCACCCACAGAAGAAGCACCGGCUAACUCCGUGCCAGCAGCCGCGGUAAUACGGAGGGUGCGAGCGUUAAUCGGAAUUACUGGGCGUAAAGCGCGCGUAGGCGGUCUGAUAAGCCGGUUGUGAAAGCCCCGGGCUCAACCUGGGAACGGCAUCCGGAACUGUCAGGCUAGAGUGCAGGAGAGGAAGGUAGAAUUCCCGGUGUAGCGGUGAAAUGCGUAGAGAUCGGGAGGAAUACCAGUGGCGAAGGCGGUCUUCUGGACUGACACUGACGCUGAGGUGCGAAAGCGUGGGUAGCAAACAGGAUUAGAUACCCUAGUAGUC